GAGUUUGAUCAUGGCUCAGGAUGAACACUAGCGGCAGGCCUAACACAUACAAGUCGAGGGGUAACAGGGUAGCAAUAUCGCUGACGACCGGCGCACGGGUGAGUAACGCGUAUGCAACCUUCCUUUAACUGGGGGAUAGCCUGGAGAAAUUCGGAUUAAUACCCCAUAACAUCAUGAGAAGGCAUCUUUUUAUGAUUAAAGCUCCGGCGGUUAAAGAUGGGCAUGCGUGCCAUUAGCUUGUUGGUGAGGUAACGGCUCACCAAGGCUUCGAUGGUUAGGGGGUCUGAGAGGAUGAUCCCCCACACUGGUACUGAGACACGGACCAGACUCCUACGGGAGGCAGCAGUGAGGAAUAUUGGGCAAUGGGCGCAAGCCUGACCCAGCCAUGCCGCGUGAAGGAUGAAUGCCCUAUGGGUUGUAAACUUCUUUUGUACGGGACGAAACUCCUGGUCGUGACCGGGAUUGACUGUACCGUGCGAAUAAGCAUCGGCUAACUCCGUGCCAGCAGCCGCGGUAAUACGGAGGAUGCAAGCGUUAUCCGGAUUCAUUGGGUUUAAAGGGUGCGUAGGCGGAAUAAUAAGUCAGUGGUGAAAGCCUGCGGCUUAACCGUAGAAAUGCCAUUGAUACUGUUAUUCUUGAGUAUAGUUGAGGUGGGCGGAAUGUGUAAUGUAGCGGUGAAAUGCUUAGAUAUUACACAGAACACCAAUUGCGAAGGCAGCUCACUAAGCUGUUACUGACGCUGAGGCACGAAAGCGUGGGGAGCAAACAGGAUUAGAUACC
rnacentral:rRNA from 1 species